rnacentral:rRNA from 1 species
UGGGGGAUAUUGCACAAUGGGCGAAAGCCUGAUGCAGCGACGCCGCGUGGGGGAUGAAGGCCUUCGGGUUGUAAACUUCUUUUGCUCUGAACAAGGCGCACCAUGGGGUGUGUUGAGUGUAGGGGUUGAUUAGCGCCGGCUAACUACGUGCCAGCAGCCGCGGUAAUACGUAGGGCGCGAGCGUUGUCCGGAAUUAUUGGGCGUAAAGGGCUUGUAGGUGGCUGGUUGCGUCUGUCGUGAAAGCUCAUGGCUUAACUGUGGGUUUGCGGUGGGUACGGGCUGGCUUGAGUGCAGUAGGUGACGCUGGAAUUCCUGGUGUAGCGGUGGAAUGCGCAGAUAUCAGGAGGAAUACCGGUGGCGAAGGCGGGUCUCUGGGCUGUUACUGACACUGAGGAGCGAAAGCAUGGGGAGCGAACAGG